rnacentral:tRNA from 1 species
GCCGGAGUGGUGGAAUGGUAGACACGCACGACUCAAAAUCGUGUGUCGCAAGACGUGAGAGUUCAAGUCUCUCCUCCGGCA